rnacentral:tRNA from 1 species
GCGGAAGUGGUGGAAUGGUAGACACGCUAGUUUCAGGAGCUAGUGGGUGCAAGCCUGUGGGGGUUCAAGUCCCCCCUUCCGC